CCUACGGGGGGCUGCAGUGGGGAAUAUUGCACAAUGGGCGAAAGCCUGAUGCAGCAACGCCGCGUGCGGGAUGACGGCCUUCGGGUUGUAAACCGCUUUCAGCAGGGACGAAGCGCAAGUGACGGUACCUGCAAAAGAAGCACCGGCUAACUACGUGCCAGCAGCCGCGGUGAUACGUAGGGUGCGAGCGUUGUCCGGAUUUAUUGGGCGUAAAGAGCUUGUAGGCGGUUAGUCACGUCGUAAGUGCAAAUUCAGGGCUCAACCCUGAGCCUGCUUUCGAUACGGGCUGACUAGAGGAAGGUAGGGGAGAAUGGAAUUCCCGGUGGAGCGGUGGAAUGCGCAGAUAUCGGGAGGAACACCAGUGGCGAAGGCGGUUCUCUGGACCUUUCCUGACGCUGAGAAGCGAAAGCGUGGGGAGCAAACAGGCUUAGAUACCCUAGUAGUC
rnacentral:rRNA from 1 species